AUGGCUGUUUGGACUGAAAGUUGGGACUUAAACCAAAGAAAAGAGAAAAAAAAUAGAGUUAGAGCAGAGCCAGAUGUGUCAUCUUCUGAUAAAGAAACUAUGGCCCUUACUCAGGAGAUUAAUCUUCAAACAGCUGGUGUGACAAACCAAGUCCCACCAUUGUAUGAGCCACAGAUAAUAGCUUCACUGACACAGGAGAGAGAGUCUAGGCUGGUACAAGAAGUUGUGCAAGGGCCCCUGCCUCAGAGUGCUUUCAUACAGGAGCAAUCCCUCUCACAGCCUCCAGUUCAACAUAGCACAACAACCAAAGGAGGAGAUGUUCACAGGAAAAGAGAAGUGAUAUCACUUGCCAGACUUAGGGCUGCAGCAAAGAGAAGGGAAAUAGCAGAUCAAGCCAAGUAUGAUGCAGCAAUGGCAAAAUUAAAGGAGGAGGAAGAGAAAAUUAAUUUAUCCGCUCAAAGGAGGAAAGAUGAACUACUUGCCAAGAAAAUGCUACCGAGGAGAGAAAGAAAGCUGUACUAG
rnacentral:rRNA from 1 species